AGAGUUUGAUCAUGGCUCAGAUUGAACGCUGGCGGCAGGCCUAACACAUGCAAGUCGAACGGUAGCACAGAGGAGCUUGCUCCUUGGGUGACGAGUGGCGGACGGGUGAGUAAUGCUUAGGAACUUGCCUUUUGGAGGGGGAUAACAGUUGGAAACGACUGCUAAUACCGCAUGAUACCUACGGGUCAAAGGGGGCUUCGGCUCUCGCCAAGAGAUGGGCCUAAGCGAGAUUAGCUAGUUGGUGUGGUAAAGGCGCACCAAGGCGACGAUCUCUAGCUGGUCUGAGAGGAUGAUCAGCCACACUGGGACUGAGACACGGCCCAGACUCCUACGGGAGGCAGCAGUGGGGAAUAUUGGACAAUGGGCGCAAGCCUGAUCCAGCCAUGCCGCGUGUGUGAAGAAGGCCUUCGGGUUGUAAAGCACUUUCAGUGAUGAGGAAAGGGUGAUGGUUAAUACCCAUCAUCUGUGACGUUAAUCACAGAAGAAGGACCGGCUAACUCCGUGCCAGCAGCCGCGGUAAUACGGAGGGUCCGAGCGUUAAUCGGAAUUACUGGGCGUAAAGCGCACGCAGGCGGUUUGUUAAGCUAGAUGUGAAAGCCCCGGGCUCAACCUGGGAGGGUCAUUUAGAACUGGCAGACUAGAGUCUUGGAGAGGGGAGUGGAAUUCCAGGUAGCGGUGAAAUGCGUAGAGAUCUGGAGGAACAUCAGUGGCGAAGGCGACUCCCUGGCCAAAGACUGACGCUCAUGUGCGAAAGUGUGGGUAGCGAACAGGAUUAGAUACCCUAGUAGUCC
rnacentral:rRNA from 1 species